GGGCUUUGCAGGACACAGUACAAUCCCAACACUCAGGCUAGGAGAAUGUCUAUCAUGCUCCUGUUUGAAUGGCACUGGGCUGACAUUGCACUGGAGUGUGAAUACUAUGUAGCUCCUAAUGGAUUUGCUGGAGUUCAGGUAUGUAGUUUUCUGCCCACAGGCAGUAAAAUUGCUUCGCAGCAUUUGCUUAACAAACUAAACAGCCAUGAUUGCCAACAGGGAGGUCCAAGUAACUUCCUUGUUGAAAGCAUGGAUGGAAGUACUCAGUGCUGUUAGGUGGAUCUGGAGCUCCUGUCAGCCUGGUAUGAGUGUAUCUUUAGCUGCAGAUCAGCUGCAAAGAGGCUUACUUUUCGCUGUCGUGCUUCAUGUAUAAUGUUAUGUUUUAUUCUUCACCUUUUGAUGACUUGAGUUCACAGACAUAGACUGUCCAAAGGAUGUUGCAAUUCCUGCCAAAAAUAAUGAACGUGGCUUCAGCCCUCCCCUACAUGUGUCCUUGGACAACGGAUCCAGGCAGCUCACGGCAACAAAAGACAAUGUUUUUGAUGCCAGUCUACAAGAUGGACAACUUGCAGACCUGAGCUUGUGCUGCAGAAGGGAGAGAAUGGGUUUGACACAAAGCUUGUCUCAUGGAAAUUGCAGACUAGUUUCAAUUUUGCAAUUAAAAUGCAAAAUGAGAACUACAGAUUUCUGACUGAGGCAUGUCAUUUCACCUGCAGGUUUCUUCUCCAAAUGAAAACACUGUCAUUACUAAUCCAAACAGGCCCUGGUGGGAAAGAUACCAGCCCAUCAGCUACAAGAUCUGCAGUCAAUCAGGCAAUGAAAAUGAAUUCAGAGAUGUGGUGGCGAGAUGCAACAACAUUGGAGUUCGUAUUUAUGUGGAUGCUGUUGUCAAUCACAUGUGUGGAUCUACAGGUGGCACAGGCACCUACUCAACGUAUGGGAGCUAUUUCAACAGCAAGAGUAGAGAUUUUCCUGCUGUGCUGUACUCUGCCUGAGCUUUCAAUGACAGCAAAUGUCAUACUGGAAGUGGAGACAUCGAAAAUUAUGGGGACAUGUAUCAGAUAACGUUAUGCGGCAACAAUUUGAUAUUUUUUUCUUUUUUUAUAACUUUUGUAGAAUAAAGCUGAAGAAAGG